rnacentral:rRNA from 1 species
AGUGAACGCUGGCGGUAGGCCUAACACAUGCAAGUCGAACGGCAGCACAGUAAGAGCUUGCUCUUACGGGUGGCGAGUGGCGGACGGGUGAGGAAUACAUCGGAAUCUACUUUUUCGUGGGGGAUAACGUAGGGAAACUUACGCUAAUACCGCAUACGACCUACGGGUGAAAGCAGGGGAUCUUCGGACCUUGCGCGAUUGAAUGAGCCGAUGUCGGAUUAGCUAGUUGGCGGGGUAAAGGCCCACCAAGGCGACGAUCCGUAGCUGGUCUGAGAGGAUGAUCAGACACACUGGAACUGAGACACGGUCCAGACUCCUACGGGAGGCAGCAGUGGGGAAUAUUGGACAAUGGGCGCAAGCCUGAUACAGCCAUACCGCGUGGGUGAAGAAGGACUUCGGGUUGUAAAGCCAUGUUGUUGGGAAAGAAAAGCAGCAGGUUAAUACCCCGCUGUUAUGACGGUACCCAAAGAAUAAGCACCGGCUAACUUCGUG